AUGAAGAGUAAAUCCUAGCUUUCAUGGGCAGGAGAAACCUAACGCCAACUUCGAAGCAGCUGUGCUAUAAUCCUCUGGGAGACGCACUGCUGGGGCUUCUCCAAACUGUGUCAACAGGAUAUGUGAUACAUCCAUCUCAGUCUCCAGAAGUGAGCUGAAUUUGCACCCCCCCUCCCCCAAAUUCAUAGGUAGAAGUCCUGACCCCCAGGACCUCACACUGUGACUGCAGUUGGAGGCAGGGCCUUUAAAAAGGCAGUUAAGGUGAAAUCAGGACGUAUGGGUGGGCCCCGACCCGACAGCAUUCCUAUCCUUAUAAGAGGGGAUCGGGACACAGACAACACAGAGGGGUGACCAUCCAAGCUAAGGAGAGAGGAUUGGGAAGAAACCAAAGCUGUUAACAUCCUGAUGCCGGACUUCCAGCCUUUAGAACUGGGAGAAAACACAUUUCUGUGGUUUCCGACACGCGGCCUGUGGCAUUUUGUCACAAAGCUCCGGCACAUUAACGCAGGAGGGGCGAGUGCAAAGACCCUACUGACCUAGAGCACAUCCCGGGUGAGAUUCCCUGUGAGGUUUGGCACAGCUCUCAAAAUCCUUCCCCCAUAUGGUUUUUUCUCUUUCCUCGCAAGCCUGUCGCCAGUAUCCACGGAGCAAAUCCCGCCCCAUCCAAUACAUGCCCCACCCCAUUCCCAGCAGACUCGCACAGGGCGCAUUUUAGCAGCAUUUACUGAUCUGGAUUUCUGGGAGCCAGUUCUAACGUGGGUUGUGGUCUCAAUCCCACCCCCCAAGUCACAAGGCCACCUUCUCUCUGCCUCUUACUCAGGCCAAGAUAGUGCUUUGGGGUUGGACGGGAGACCUGGAAGAAGGCUGCUAACGCCAAGUUUGGGGAAGGGAGAAUAAAGGACAUGACCGAAGAAAAGCUGGUGUGCAAGGCGAGACGCGGGACGAGAGCCCACCUGGCGCCAGCCGCCAUCUAGGGCCUAUCUGUCCUCUACCUGCCAGACGACGUGAUCAGUCAGGGCUGCAGCCCGCGCUUCCAUCUGGGAGACAGGAUGAAAAUGGAGGAGGGAGAGAGAGAGGGAAAGCUCCUUAGCCAAUACUAGAGGAAACUAAGGAAAGCAGAAGGCAAAAUCACCAAGUUUAAACUACAAGCAACAUCAUAAUCUCUGGUCACCCGAUCCUCUUUCCUGGGGGAAUUCCAGACCAAUGCACUCUUACAAUCAGCAGGCAAUAUUUGCAGAAAGCGCAGCCUCCGGAAUGAUUGCUACAUGUGCAGCAUCUCAAUUCACAGCAGCCACUAAAAUCCAACCACAUCACGCAAGCCGCAAAUAACUGAUUUAACAGGUGGUGUUGUGCUCAGACUUUUUCGGAAAGGAGCAUCAAACUCAAACUAUUUGUCACCGGUGAUUUCAGAAAAGAAGGCGUCAGGAAGAAGCAACUGUCUGUACGUCACAGAGCGGAUGGGUAGCCCACUAGGACAGGCGGACUUGAAAAUGGCAGCCCCAGGCUGACUCCAAGCCGUCCAGGAAGAGCCAAGGCGCAGACUCCCGGGCUGAGUCAUGGGGUAGACGUCAGCACUAGAACACUACUUCACCCUGCUACUGAAUUUCACUUGACCUUCACCCCCUGCUCCAUCAGGGUCCAGGAACACCUUUACCGGGAUGCUUCCAGCCCAGAGGCCCUUAACAGAGUGCAUGAUCUGUACCACUGAGGUAAUGGUGCUGGCUCUUGGAGCUCUAGAAUAUUCCAGGUGAGGACUCUAACCAUCUCUCCCCAAAAGCUUGAAAGCCUUUCUACCUCUCCAUAUAUGGACCAUGAAAGUGAUUUACGUGUGCAAGUGGAAAUGAUUUACAAUCCAAUGUUUGUUUAGCCUCCCGGUGCCUACUUGUCCAGAGCCAGUUCUAUGCAAGCGCCAUGCCAGUCGCACAUGGGUCAUGAAUGGUGCUGUAAAAAGCCUGGGGGGAGGGUGCGGCAGACAGUUCAAUGGCAGUUGCAGGGUAGUGGCGGGUGAUAACACUGGGGGUGGGGGCCCUGGGGGCCGCAGUUCACUAUUUAGCCUGGACUGGUGGAGGAAAGAGGUGGGGGAAGACUUCACGAAGAAGUGACACCCAUACUGAGCAUGGAGGAGAUGUAGAGAGGGGGCUGGAGAGAAGGCGUGGAAAAGAUGCUCCUGGCAAAGGGGACCGUGGGUGGCUACAGGUGAAGAUCCGAGGAAGCAAUGGCGGGUGGGAGGAGAGGGGUGGACUGCGUGGCUGUGUGUGCAGAUCCUGAAACUCUCAUAAAGACCACAGACGGACUUGACCUGACCAUAAGUCAUCAAAUGCUUCAUGGGAUAAAUUUGUUUGUUUGCUUGCUUGCUUCAUGUUUUGUUUUGUUUUUAAAGACCACGUGCUACUGGGGCACCUUGGUGGCUCAGCCGGUUAAGAAUCUGCCUCUUGGUUUCUGCUCAGGUCAUGAUCUCAUGGUCAUGGGUUCAGGCCCCCGGCGGGCUCUGCUCCGACAGUGCGGACCCUGCUUGUGCUUCUCUCUCCCUCUCUCUCUGCCAGUCCCCUGCUCAAGCCCUCUCUCUCUCUCAAAUAAGGGCGAUCUCCGAUCUCCAGAGUUCAGCACAGGCCCCAGCAGAGAGCGGGUGCUCUAUUGUAACAAAAAAUGUCAUGUAUCAGGUGUUUCUGAUUUUCCAGGCAAAUAAAGUGUUCUUUGCCAAGCACUUUAUAUCUACUAAGUCAUGCAAUCCUCACAGCCUACUUAUGAAGUAAUGUUCAGUUAUUUCCUUCCCUUUAGAGAGGAGGGCACCAAGGCACGGGCUUACAAAGUCACUUGCCUGGAAGGUCACAUAGCUCAUCAGUGGCAGAGUCAGGGGCCCCUGUAGCCUGAAGACCAUUGAACCCGUUCGCCCUCCAAGUGUCUCUAAAUGCUUCUCUUGGCACCUGUUUGCCAUUUCCUCUUUUCUCAUAUGUUGCCAGGGCCCAAGGGAGGACACUAAAUGGGCAGCAAUGGACUGGGUGUGUGGCCACCUGGGCGAUAAGGAGAACCCUCGUUUGCUUGUUCUUUUCUAACCUCACUGAGGACAGUCUUUCUAAGCAAUACCAACUCGCUUUUCUUUCAGUGUGUGUAUGAAGGUUUCUGUGAAUUUUGAGGACUUUGGGAGAGGGCAGAAUGAUUAUCAAUGAUCAUAAAACAGAUUCCCUCUGUUUUCGGUCCUUGUAACCUGGGAUUGGAUCGGAUUUCUUUUAAAAAUGGAAUGGUGAGGAGAAAAUUCCAGUCGCCCGUGCUUUUUGAUUACUUGGGGCUUUGCAAGAAAUUAUGUUAGAAUAAUAUUCACUAUCUAAGUUUUGAGUUCAAAAUAGAAGCACUGUUAAUAUUUGUAGCUGUAACUAUUGAUGCUUAAGAUAAGCAGUCUGAACAUCAGGAAACUUGAAUUUGAGGGAUAUUUCUGAAGAUGUCACUAAACAUGAAUUUCUAUGUGUCUAAAUCACAUUCCUUGGGUCCUAGAUCCAGUUUUGAAGUCUAAGCUUUUUAACUGUCAGACCCUCAUCACCUGUCAUUUGCUCCUGCUCUAUGUAAAGGAAAGAUUCAUAAUGGAAAACAUAGGAAGAUGUUCAUUGAUGGCAUCUUUUUUUUUUUUUUUUUUUUUUUGUGGUGGCCAGGCGUUGAACCCAGUCUGGGAGUCAUCCCUGGGUGAGUAGGCAAACCCACGCUUGCAGAUCUCUGUGCAGCGAUUAAAAGCAAUGGUCUAGAUGUGCAUACGGCAACAUAGGUAAACCUCAAAACCGUGGUAGGAUGGAAAUGAGUUGAUCAUUCCGCUGUUGGAAUAUUGGAAAAAAAUACCGGGCCACCUUCCAUAGUAAGGAUUCCAAAAAAAAAAGACAGCUCUGUCAGGAGUGGGAUUCGAACCCACGCCUCCAGGGGAGACUGCGACCUGAACGCAGCGCCUUAGACCGCUCGGCCAUCCUGACUCGCUGGAGAAUGAGCUUGCUCCGAAUUUAUUUGUGUCUCUACCCACACACCAAGCAGUUCCGGAUGCGGAACCCCUCCGGGCAGGAGUGAAAUGAGCGCUCCUUGAUGAGCCGCGCGCGGGACGCCGGGGCCGGCGUCCCGCGCGCAAUAAAUAGCACCCGGCUCCGGGCGCGGCCGAGUGGCACCUGCCGUGCGACCGCGGAUUCGAUUCCAGGCCCCCGGGAGGGGCGGGGCGGGAUGCCCGGGGAGAAGGGCGCCCUCCCCCCACAGGGGGCAGAACCCUGCUGAACUCGUGGCACCGUGUCGCUGGAAUACGCGCUUUCUCCCGGGAGGUUUUGGGCCGCGGCAGGUGCGCGCAGGCUGCAGCCCUGCCCGCAGGCGCUCGCUAACCCUCCCCCUCCUCCCAGCGGGCGCCGCCCCGGGAAGCGGCGUUAGCGGGCGGGCGAGUGGAGCUUCUCGUUCUGAAUUCGUUGAAGUCUCUACACUGAGGAUUUGCCGGCUUUACUGUGUGGAUGUUCUACUGCGGGGAACAGAAGUUUCUGCAUCUAGUAAACCUGGCACAGGGGCCCUCGAUGCCAGGCCUCUACUGCAGCAACUUCUCUAAGCACACUUCACGUCUGAUGGGACCUACCUCGGGGUUUCUUGUCCAGUGUUAGCGUCGGGAUGCUGUGGUCAGGACAUCGCCGACGGGGAGUCGGGGAACCUGACCGUGAGUUUCAAACAAAGGACUAGUGAGUCAACUGCCUGGAGGCUUGCGGACAAGUCGUUUGGCCCGUGUUGACCUGAGAAACGGCUUUCCUAACAGUUUCAUCUAAAUUCAUUUGAAGAAAUACAAAGCUUGAGCGCUUAAAUGAAGCAUCAAAUCCCCGUCCCCAGAGAACCAGUUAGACGCAAGUAAUUCUCAGUCUCACCCAGACCUACCGAGUCAGACAUUUGGGGGGUAGAGUCCAGGAAUCUGUGUGUAACCAGCACUCCAGGGGAUUCUGAGAUGUGCCCAGGUUUGAGAGUCACUGGCUGGAGGCACAGUAACCCCGCAAUUCUUACCAGAGAAACUGCUCUGGUGUGAGCAGGUGCCAUGUGAAAGCGCGCGCAUACUGCCAACAGCCUCCCGGCCUCAGACUCAUCGAAUUGGGGUGCCUGAGAGUUCCACCUGGGGACUGUAUUCCUAACGGUUCCCCCUUCACCCCUCGGGUGAUUCUAGUGUGCACCCAAGUUCGAGAUCAUUACUUUAGGAUUUAGCUUCCGAAAAAGGCUGAAUCCCUUAAGGGUGAGGUGGAGGGGCCGCAUUCAGAAAACGUGUUCAGGCCUCCGUGGCACAGGGCUCUGGCCCCAAAUAUUUGUAAAACGUGGAGUGCUGCCGGCCAAAGCACGACUCACGGGGGCUGUUCAUAGGCUCUGUGUGUGUGCGUGUCCACCUGCGUGGGAUGUCUGAAGGUGGAUCGUGGGAGAUGGCCAGAGAUGACCAUCAGCAAAGGAGGGUUUUCCCCGGGCACCUGAAAUGCCAGGGCCCAGCCUUUCCCAGAGAUAAGAUGGAAACGAUCCAGAGAGCACAUUCCAAUCCAAUGGUCGGCGUGGUUGCACGUGAGCAUUUUGUGAAGACGAAUAGAUCUGUCUGGGACGCAGAUCCACUUUCCGGGUUCCAGAAGCCCAGAAACACCCAGGCUCGUCUCUUUUAGGAGAUUCAGGAAUAAAGCCAGAACAUCCGGAGACUCAUCGUUUCCUCCAGGCCCCGGUAGCCGGUGCCAGCUGGUAAAAGAGCCUCAAGGCUCAUCAGAUAAGUUCUUCCUCGAGGGUGUGCUUCAUGCAAA